AUACGUAGGGGGCGAGCGUUAUCCGGAAUUACUGGGUGUAAAGGGUGUGCAGGCGGCAUUGCAAGUUUGAUGUGAAACCCCGGGGCUUAACUCCGGGCAUGCAUCGAAAACUACAGAGCUAGAGUACAGGAGAGGAAAGCGGAAUUCCUAGUGUAACGGUGAAAUGUGUAGAUAUUAGGAAGAACACCAGUGGCGAAGGCGGCUUUCUGGACUGAAACUGACGCUGAGACACGAAAGCGUGGGGAGCAAACAGGAUUAGAUACCCUGGUAGUCCACGCUGUAAACGAUGAAUACUAGGUGUCGGGGCCGUAGGCCUCGGUGCCGCAGUUAACGCAAUAAGUAUUCCACCUGGGGAGUACGGCCGCAAGGCUGAAACUCAAAUGAAUUGGCGGGG
rnacentral:rRNA from 1 species